UUCAUUGUUCAUCAUGUAGCGUCAACACAAAAGCAAAGGGAAAGGAAAAGCCAAAGGCAGGAGUUACGUUGUAUACAUUGGCCGUGUGCUUGGGAUAUACUCUAUUUAUGGGGAAUGCUACAAUCAGGUUAACAGAUGUCCUAGCAAUUUGCAUGAUUCUUACGACACGUGGGAAAAAGCCUACUCCGCAUGGACCAGGUACUAAGUUCAAGUAGACUUCCAAUUUGUCAGUGACGUAACAACAGCAUAGUCACCUUUGGUAAAGAUUAUAUGUACUAGAGCACCCAUCACACGCUAAAAAAUUCGUGCAAUUUAUCCUAAACCGUUGCUCAAGUCUAUGGAUUCAGUGCCUUGUCAGUGUGUUUCGUGAGGCCGACACUUGUGAAGGCAGAAAUUUGUUCCAUACUCUAGCUACAAUUAAAAUCACUCCAAAGAUGCCCGACGUAGACCCAAGGAAUACUCCUUCAAAAGCUGGAAAUUCUUCCUACAAGGGAAAACGUACAUGUACUAGCACUGGAAAAGAGACAAUGGCUGAAACACCAACGACGAAAAAGUCAAUCGUCCUUGCGAGUUUGGUGCUACUAGAGGUGCGGAUAUCUAAGAAUUAAUUUUUAUUUCAUGUUUUCCUACAUAUGGUAACUUUUCUAUCUUGUUAUACAUAGGCAGUGGAAAACCUCUUUGAUCAAACUAAAAAAAUGUUACUACUGAAGUCUGAACUGAAACUAGCUGCAUAUGUGUACAAUCCACACAUGGAUAACAAGUGAGUAGUAAUCAAUGGCUCUAUAACACAUUUAAAAAAGAAAACUUUAUUAAGAUUUCAAAUGUGAUCAUAAAAGAUUUCAAAUGUCUUUGCCCCGAAUACCAAGUAUCCAAAGAGGUAGUACAAAUUUUGUGUGGAUGUUAUACUCUACUUGUUAAGAGUAGUUUACAACUUGGGUGAACACUAACGUUAAUACUGUCUAGAUCAUUACGUUGAUGAAAAUGAAGACAACUUAACUUCAAUGAGAUGCUAGCACUCUGACAGUAUGGUCUUUACCUCCAAGUUUCAUUGUAUGUAACCCUUAUCCCUAUGUUAGAUUUCCUUUUCGUAACCUAUCUUAUCGUUGAAUGUAGCUGAUUUGUAUUACCGUUUUACACCAUCAUCUCUCCAGGCUGAUGUGUUCCAUGGAUUAAAAAUAAAUGAACUCAAAAACAACUAUGCCAAAGUUUGGAUGUUACUGUGGAUACCCCUUUUUGUCCGGGCUUAAUCUUUUGAAUUAAGAAGGAUGUUAAUAGCUUAAUUAGGGAUAUAAAAUUAAGAUGAAACCUUUAGUGUUGAUGAUCACGUGGGUUAUUAUUUGACCAUGUAACAACAAUAAAAGAAAGGCUUUGCGAAAGCUUUAAAAAAAGAAGAAGAGGUGUGCUUCAUUAGUGGGUUUUGAGCCCAUUUUCAACAAAAAAAAGACUUGAAAGAGGAUAGGAAAAAUAAGGUCAGAAAUGGAGACCAUGGAACCUUCCCUUUUGGGGUAGGUGGUCCUCCUAUAAAUAUAAAGUCAUAACUUUUUCUCCAGCUACCUAGAAUUGAAUACACCAAAAAUCAUAAAAGAAAACUGAGCUUUGUCUGGAAAAAGGGAACAAAACAGAGUCUUGCUAGUUUCAUUUUCUUGUGACCUUCUUAGAGGAAUAUUUAUCACUAGGUGUUUGUUCCAAUACGUGAUGAGCGUGGUCAUUUGUUUCUCAUGGUUAUUUCACUUACUGAUAAAGCGGUGUACCGCUAGACUCUUACCUUGAGCAUACUGAGGAUAUUAUAAAAAAGACUGAAAUCAUCAUCAUUAUGUGUGCUACAAUAUCAGAUAUGGUGUUGACCGAUGCAACCUAUCUCAUAUUGUUGUCUAAGAAUGUUGAACAAUUCAAAACACGGCCCAUAGUUGAGACAAUGAGUAUUCCUAAUUGUGGAACAAGAUAAAGAAGGACAUGAGGAUGCACACAAUGCUCACUUUAAUAACAGGAGCCUACAAUGAGGAGAGGGGAGAAAUGGAGGAAAAGUCUGAAGCCUUUUGGCACUUGCGUACAAUUGGCAUGCAAUGAAUGAAUGAUGCAAUUUGACUUUUGAAUGUUUUUUUUUUAUAAGGUCUAUGAUGGAAUUCUAAACAAACUGACCGUAUUUAUUAUGUUUGUAAGACGAUGUGUUUAUCUCACUUUAGUAGGUGUUGUGUACAGAGACCGCGUACUGCACAUGCCUUUAAGUCAUUUAUGUUAAGGUUGUUUGGGGUUGACUAUUUGUAUUUCUAGUUGAAUAUUGUGUCAUGACUUCUUUA